GAAGAGGCAGAGCUCAUCCUGGGGUCAAAGGACCCAGGCGUACGCUAACUAGAAGGUGGUGUGAACCUCACAACAUACAUACAAAUGGUACAAAGUAAGCAGGUGCUCUGGGAGAAGCUGAGGGAAACCCUUUCCCACACCUAGUCCUUUCACUUGGGAGAUAAUUUUGUUUGAUUCUAAAGAGUACUAUGACUUCAGGGCCCAAGGAGGACAGCUCAUUGGAAAUAGUUCAGAGGAGAUCCCAACACAAACUCAUCAUUCAUAAUGGAGAAGCAUCCACUGCACACGCCUACUACUACCAGACUAGUUUUUUCAUCUCUGAAAAAAGGGAACAGAACACUAUGGUCUAGAGAGAUGUGUCACAAGCACUUCAUCCAAGAUGCAACAGCUCAUAGACUGCAAAGAAAGGCACAUACUUUGUGAAGCAACUGGCAAUUAAAUAUUUCAACUGGAUAGUCAAUUCAAGCAUUUUAACUUGAAAGACUGCCAAGAUAGAAGAAUCACUGGAACUCUCAAAUAGCGAUUUCACUAACUUUGUGAUUGAUUUAGGGUCCACGGCAUCCUUCUGUAUAUGCUAUUCUAAUUCGUAAUAUCAGUAACUGAACUUGUCAGAUGCAGCCAGAUUAUUCUCAUCAGUUAAAAAAUCCCAAAUCCAGAACAAAAAGGACAUGCACAAGGAAACAGGAUGGCAGCAGCUGCUAUCUGCUGGCUCUGCUGAGUCUUUCCGUGACAUUCAACCGCGAGGAAAGAUUUUACUCAGUGAACAUUACCAUGUUUCCAUGCCUCCUUAUCCUCCAGCUCCAACAAUCAACCUGACUGUUCUGCAUUUUUUAGGCCAGGAUACUGUAGGGCUGAAUUUCUGUAACUCAGGGUAUUUCUAUUUUAAUCAUCAACAAUUUUUAGGUAUUGCAUCAUUUGAAAGGAAUGUUAUUUUUUAACAACUCUUUCUCACACAGAGAACACACUUAAAAUUGCAAAACUCUCCAUCCCCAGCAUUAAAAUCAUCACCUUUCAGGAACAUCCUUCCUAAUUGUCUCUCAGCCCACAAGCCAUGAGAAUGUUUCCAUUUCAAAAUCCAGUCUUCACUGUCGUACUUUAUAUGAUGCUUUUUGAGCAGGUUGCCCUUCUUUGGAUUUUUUUCUUCCAAAUCUGAUAGGAAAGUUGGAGCCUGAAAUGUGAAUCCAUAAACUACACCAGUAACUCUCGUGUGGCAAAAGCGGAACAGUGGAAAUACAUUGUUUUCAUUGAAGUGAAAUGCCAGUCUGUUCUUGCAUGAGCAAACUGGAUUAAGAUAACUUCCCUUGGGGCUUCAGGAUUUCACAAGGAGACUGUAUCUGACUACAAGACUUCUUUAAGAACGUAGUUUCAAAAUGUUACGGACAUCAGGCUCCAACAGUCCUGACUGGAGAAAGUAGACCAGAAUAGAGAUGCAACUGUUACUGCUGUGGAGCUGGAUCACCUAGCUGUAAGUCCUCUCUCGACUUACAUGCCUUUAGUGAAAGCUUUCCUGCAGGAAGCAGAUGAACAAGGAGCGCAAGACCCGGAGCCGCGCUUCUGAGUUGAAGUCCUGGCUAUGCUAUUUACUAGCUAUGUGAUCCUGGGCAAUCAUUUAAUUUUUCUGAGGUUGAUUAUCCUGAUCUAGAGAAUGGAGACAUAAAUUCCUAGACUGCAGUGGUUGUUAGGGUUAUACGUAAUUCAGUAUAUGGAAACAUUCUAUAAUUUUUAAAGCACUACACAAACAUUUAUUUUAUUAGAUGGAUCAGCACCCCGGAGCGCCUUUUCAGGGUGAAGUACAAAAUGAACUGAGAAGUGGACGGGAAGGUACUCUGAAAAAUAGGGACAGCUUCCAUUUUUGGAACACUCUGCGCCAGAUACUGCUGCAUGCUUUAAUAUGCAUUUUCUCAACGUUCAAAAUCACCUGACAAGGUUGGUGGUGUCAUCUCCAUUUCCCAGGUGAGGGAACAGAGAUUUAGAACGGGGACAUGACUUGCCCUUGGUCACAAAGCUUGUGGAGGGCAAGACCAGGGUGCAAAGCGGGAUUUGCCCGAAUCCAGGCCCAGGCUUUUAGCCGUGAGUCUCUGCUGGCUCAGCGCAUUAUAGAGACUGUAAUGGCUAUUCUCCACGUGGCCGGAUGGAACUUUGAAUGUAAACUGGCUCCGAUUUCAGGGUUUCACCAAUAAGCACAUGAGCAAACCAUUAAAACCAGCUUUGGUUCUGAUCAGCAGAAGCAGCACCCAACAACCCACCAAGAGGACGGCGACAACUUGGAAAUUAGUAGGAUUUGGCUAGCACUGAACGGUUGGAGACCUGGAUGCUCAGCCACACACGUGAUUUGCAGUGUGCCCUUAAGCAAGCCACAUCUCUAAAGCCUGGCUUCCCGCUAAUCUAAAGGAGGCUCACGUCAAAAGAGCAUAGUGACUAGCCCAACACUCAUUCACAUGAUUAUGACAGUGCUAAAAUAAUGUCUCUAAAAUACAGCCCAGCAGUUUAUCCUCCUAAGUUCCCCGUUUCUAAGAGGCAGUAUGGCGACAUGGUCACAUGUAGACUUCUGGAGGCAGAAUGUCAAGCUCUGCAAUUCGCUCCCUGCACAACCCUGGGUAACUUACGUUAACUCUCAGUGUCUCAGUCUCCUCAGCUGUUUAAAAUAAGGAUGAUGAUAGUACCCACCACACCUAAGGUUGCUGUGACAA
rnacentral:lncRNA from 1 species